rnacentral:tRNA from 1 species
CCAGAUUUUUAAAGAGCAAAUAUCUCAAACGUCACCCGAAGAUGAGUUUUGAGAUAUUAAGGCAGGUGACUUUCACUCACAAACCAGCAAGUGGCGUCCCCUAGGGGAUUCGAACCCCUGUUACCGCCGUGAAAGGGCGGUGUCCUGGGCCUCUAGACGAAGGGGACACGAAAAUUGCUUAUCA